rnacentral:rRNA from 1 species
UACGGAGGGUGCGAGCGUUGUCCGGAAUCACUGGGCGUAAAGGGCUCGUAGGUGGCCAACUAAGUCGGACGUGAAAUCCCUCGGCUUAACCGGGGAACUGCGUCCGAUACUGGUUGGCUUGAGUUUGGGAGAGGGAUGCGGAAUUCCAGGUGUAGCGGUGAAAUGCGUAGAUAUCUGGAGGAACACCGGUGGCGAAGGCGGUCUGCUGGGGUAAUGCUGACACUGAUGCGCGACAGCGUGGGGAGCAAACAGG